UUCUUACAUUGUGCCAGAUUGCAAAAAUAGCCAUAGUAAUUUUCCUCCCUGAAUCUGUAUCCUUGGGUAAUUCCCAUUAUAUUGAUUCUGGGCAUAGACAUGUGAUUUCCUUUGGCUAAGAAGGUAAGAAAAUGUGAGACUCGAAGAGGCUCAAGAGACUUGGACAGUGCUUGUGCAUUGUUGCUGUUUCUUGUUUCCCUGAAACCACCACCAAGUGAAAAAGCCUGGGCUAGUCUGCUGAAUAAUGAGAGACACGUGGCCUGGUGACCUCCAUUAGUCUAGCCAACUGCCAAACACAUGAUUGAGGCCAUUGACUGUCAGCUGACUGCAAACAUGAGACUGAGCUCAGCCCUAACUGUCAACCCACAGAAAUCAGAGCACAGAUAGCUGUUGUUUUAAAUGAGGAGCCCUGGGUAGUAUGUUAUGGCAACUAUAGCUCAUUCACAUUAUGUUGCCCAUUUUUUCCCCUUGUGCUUGCUUGUCCUUUUCUUAUUGCUAAACUUUAUUUCUUCUGUAUAUCUUUACCUCUUUAUAUUUUCUAUGUCUUCACUGGACCACGAACUGAGCUUUAAGGGCUGGGAGUAGAAAUUUUCUCCAGGUUUAGUUGCUCCAUUAAUUAACAUGUUCAUUUCUCUCCUCUACUAAUACACUUGUUAGCAUAGUAAUUUUUUUUUUUUUGAAACAGGGUCUCACUUUGUAAUCCAGGCUGGAGUGCAGUGGUUGAUCUUGGCUCACUAUAGCCUCACACUCCCACCAGGCUCCAGAGAUCCCUCAACCUCAGCCUCGUGAAGUACAUGUCACCACAACCAGUUCUGGCGGGUAGAAGUUCAAGGUCAAGGCAUUGGCAGAUGUGGCUUCUGAGGCUUCUCUCCAUGGCUUGUAAAUGGCUGUCUUCUUGCUGUGUCCUCACAUGGUUACCUCUCAGUCUGGUGGUGACGGCUCUGCUGGUGCCAGCUCCAGGUUUUGCAUGACCUCUGUGGGCUCCCCUAUACCUGCUUAGACCUCUAUUCUCUUUUUGCACGUGCUGUCUGUCUCCUGCUUGCUCUGUGGCACAGCUGGGUAAGUGUCCAUCUUAUUCCUGGCACAAUGUAGGGGCUUCAGUGUUGGUGGAAAGGCAGAGAGAAAUUCAUUAAUUCCCAAGGGAGAAAUUUAAGACUGGAGAAUUAAGAGAACAAUUUGGCAGUAUCUAGUAAAUAUAUAUAUCCAGUAAUUCCUUUCUUAUAUCAGAAAACAAACAUAUAGACGACAGAAAUGUUUUCAGAAGUCAAAAGACUAAAUUCAAGUAAUGAGUCUGAUCUUUUCUCCAACCUUCUUCCUGCUAACUGUUCAUCUGGAGACCCCUAGAAAAUUUUGCCCUAAUGCUGGUGUCUCUCCUCCCUCCCCCGUCCCCCACUAUUUCCACUGAUUUUAAAUGAAAGUGGUCCUUAAUAUUUUGGUAUUCAUAUUUUUCUACCCUUUGCCCCUUCAGCCCUUCAUACAGUGCUCUCUAAAUAUGCUUAGUGGUGGUACUCUAAGGCUGUAGGCGUUUACAAAAAUCCCUAGGCAGUCUCAUGAAAAUCAAACAGUCCACCUUUCUUUAGCUGGUUUCUUCAAAGGGAUUUCUGUAAACAGCACUUCCUUCAAGCAGAGUCCACCUGCCUUUCCUAUCCUUGCUUUCUUGGGAGGUGCCUGCAGUGCCAUCAAGGGAGCCCAACCCAGAGAAGGGAGCUCACAAAUGAG
rnacentral:lncRNA from 13 species